GUAUAACGAGCGGAUCUUUUCUUCUUUCUUCCUUCUUUUUUUUUCUUCUUUUUUCCAUAGACACGUGUCGUGUGCAGUGCACACGUAGUAUGCAUCUUUGGUGUACGCAGUCGCGCGGACAAGAAACUAUGUGCAGUCACGUGUAAGAGUGGAAUAGCGAAAACGUGAUGCGAUUAUGCAUUCUUUCUACGUCGUCAUUUCUCACUUGGUACGAGCCGGGCCUCGUGUGUAGAUAUACAUACUUAUUAACCUAACGUUUUAUGGUAAUUUUAUUAAACGCUUCUUUUUUACCACAGACGUCACCGGAUUUCCACCGUCUACAAACAUCGUCGAUCGAUAUUCGUCGAUCGCGAAAUCGACGAUGAUAUUGUUAAACCGCAAAUACUUAACAUAUAUCGGUCUCGAGCAAGUUUUCUAUCGAAUGCAGGCACGUGAAUCUAUCGCAGAGGGAUUUCGAUUUUCAGCUGAACGGACCAUUACCUCGCCCACGUCGCAAACGAUCGCCUAAAGUCUCGUGAUCGAGUAAAACCGGUUUGAAUGCGCCAGUGCUGUAACAACUUAUCAGUGAAUACUGGGAUUAGAGAAUACUCCUUAAUUUAUAACAUAUUCGUUGCCUCUUUCGUUCAUAUAAACUAACAAAUAAUAUAUUUGUUAUAGAUGAUUAGAUACAUGAUAUAAAAUAUAGACUAAUAAAAAGAAAUACUAAUAAAUGAACAUUUUUGUAUCAUAAAUUAUCAAA